UGUGAAUACAGGUAUGUGCCUGUGUGUGUAUGUGUGUGUGUGUGAGUGUGUGUGUGUGUGUGUGUGUGUGUGUGUGUGUGUGUGAAUGCAGGUGUGUUCCUGUGUGUGUGUGUGUGUGUGUGUGAAUGCAGAUGUGUGACUCUGUGUGUGUGUGUGUGUGUGUGUGUGUGCGUGUGAAUGCAGGUGUGUGCCUGUGUGGAGCCAGAGGACAACUUUUGAGAGUCAAUUCUCUUUUUUUACCUUCUCUUUCUCCAAACACUCCCAUGUGUGGCCCCCUCUCUUUCAAAUUCAUGGCCUUUUUUUCCUUUAACACAAUUUCUUUAUUGAUUCUUUGGGAGUUUCACAUCAUGCAUCUUAAUUCCACUCACCUCUCAGUCUCCCCAUAUCUUCUCCUCACCCCUGCAGAGCUCCCCACAAAAGAAAAUUUAAAAAAUCAAAAUAAAGCUAGCAAACAAACAAGAACAGGAACAAAACAAACCAACCCCUCCCCCCAAAUCCUGUUUGCUUCUUCUCUUUCCUGCUUCUCCAACGCCUUCAUCCUGGCACCAUUGGGGGCUUGGUGUGUCACACUCUUUGUCCAGUCAACUUUACUAGCAAAUAAGCAAUGAGUCAGUGGUCUGGUUCAAGGCCUCCAGUUCUGGUUCACCCUCAUCAUUGGAUCCUCACUGAACUCCUCUGGGACAUCCUGUGGCCACCUCGAGUCGUAGAAAUCCUGCAGAAGAAGAAAAACUUUGGAUGCCAUCAAAGUUGAUCAAGAUUCCAGUAGAAAAAGAAAAACCUCUCAAUGAGGAGAAAUGACAG
rnacentral:lncRNA from 1 species